rnacentral:rRNA from 1 species
UAAGGAAUAUUGGUCAAUGGUCGCAAGACUGAACCAGCCAUGCCGCGUGCAGGAUGAAGGACCUAUGGUUUGUAAACUGCUUUUGUACAAGAGAAAACCCUCCGACGUGUCGGAGGCUGAUAGUAUUGUAAGAAUAAGCAUCGGCUAACUUCGUGCCAGCAGCCGCGGUAAGACGAAGGAUGCAAGCGUUAUCCGGAUUCAUUGGGUUUAAAGGGUGCGUAGGCGGACUUGUAAGUCAGUGGUGAAAUCCCUCAGCUUAACUGAGGAACUGCCAUUGAUACUGCAAGUCUUGAGUACAGAUGCCGUUGGCGGAAUAUGACAUGUAGCGGUGAAAUGCAUAGAUAUGUCAUAGAACACCGAUUGCGAAGGCAGCUGACGAAACUGUAACUGACGCUGAGGC